rnacentral:rRNA from 1 species
GACAGAGGGUGCAAACGUUGUUCGGAAUUACUGGGCGUAAAGCGAGUGUAGGCGGUUUCCUAAGUCAGGUGUGAAAGCCCCGGGCUCAACCCGGGAAGUGCACUUGAAACUGGGAGGCUAGAGUAUCGGAGAGGUUGGUGGAAUUCCCGGUGUAGUGGUGAAAUGCGUAGAUAUCGGGAGGAACACCAGUGGCGAAGGCGGCUUC